rnacentral:rRNA from 1 species
AUACGGAGGGUGCAAGCGUUACUCGGAAUCACUGGGCGUAAAGCGCGCGCAGGCGGCUAUUUAAGUUGGAUGUGAAAGCCUACGGCUCAACCGUAGAACUGCAUCCAAAACUAUUUAGCUAGAGUGUGGGAGAGGAAGCUGGAAUUAGUUGUGUAGGGGUAAAAUCCGUAGAGAUAACUAGGAAUACCAAAAGCGAAGGCAAUCUUCUGGAACACUACUGACGCUGAGGCGCGAAAGCGUGGGGAGCAAACAGGAUUAGAAACCCCAGUAGUCC